UAGUUGCUUCUAAGCCAGCUAUCUCGAUGAGAGUUUGAAGAUCUACAUUGAAAUCUUUUACCUAAGAAACUUAGUCCUUACCCAUAAACCCAGGAGAAGAGGGGGAGCACGCAUCGGAGCUAGUAAAUAUAGAAAAAGUCAAACAUUCCUCAUCAGGGCCUCUGAAGAAACCAAAGAAACCAAAAAUACACCAAGGGAGAAAAUGUCCACUGAAACACGUGCCUGCCUGGGUGUGAGGAUAUCCUAUGACAGUCACUGUCGCUCAGGCAGGGAUCUCAUCAAAUAACCAGGAACUAUCAACCAUUGGAGAAGAGAAGAGACUGGGAGUUACCCCAUGCCCAGACAAACUUUUCAUCUAUUCUUCUGAGGGUAACCCCAGGAGAUUACCUGGGGGACUUUUUUUUGCAUAAUAAGACAACCUUUGUUCCUGUGCAGCUCCACAUCUUUUCUUCCUAUAAAGUCUGCCUCCAACAUCGUGGGUCCAUUCAAUUCUCCCUAAUGAAAGCAUUGCCUACAGUCUCCAUCCCCUCCCUUCCCCGUAAAGCUUCUGUGCCACACUGGGUUGGUGGGCAAUCCCCCUGUGAUCCACUACUCCCC